GAGGGUAUAGCUCAGUGGUAGAGUGUGCAUUUAGCAUGCACGAGGUCCUGGGUUCGACCCCCGGCACCUCCA
rnacentral:tRNA from 1 species